ACUCAAAUGAAUUGACGGGGGCCCGCACAAGCGGUGGAGCAUGUGGAUUAAUUCGUCACUAACCGAAGAACCUUACCCAGGUUUGACAUCUGACGCACCGGUGUGAAAGCACCGUUCCUUCGGGACGUCAAGACAGGUGUUGCAUGGCUGUCGUCAGCUCGUGUCGUGAGAUGUUGGGUUAAGUCCCGCAACGAGCGCAACCCUCACCGUAUGUUGGCAGCGUAAAGUCGGCAACUCUUACGGAACUGCCCGUGCAAGCGGGAGGAAGGUGGGGACGACGUCAAGUCGGCAUGGCCCUUACGCCUGGGGCUUCACACAUGCUACAAUGGCUUCUACAAAGGGUAGCGAACUCGUGAGGGUGAGCGAAUCUCAAAAAGGGAGCCUCAGUUCGGAUUGUAGGCUGCAACUCGCCUACAUGAAGCUGGAAUCGCUAGUAACCGCCGGUCAGCUAAACGGCGGUGAAUACGUUCCCGGGCCUUGUACACACCGCCCGU
rnacentral:rRNA from 1 species